rnacentral:rRNA from 1 species
UAGGGAAUCUUCGGCAAUGGACGAAAGUCUGACCGAGCAACGCCGCGUGAGUGAAGAAGGUUUUCGGAUCGUAAAACUCUGUUGUUAGAGAAGAACAAGGACGUUAGUAACUGAACGUACCCUGACGGUAUCUAACCAGAAAGCCACGGCUAACUACGUGCCAGCAGCCGCGGUAAUACGUAGGUGGCAAGCGUUGUCCGGAUUUAUUGGGCGUAAAGCGAGCGCAGGCGGUUUCUUAAGUCUGAUGUGAAAGCCCCCGGCUCAACCGGGGAGGGUCAUUGGAAACUGGGAGGCUUGAGUGCCGAAGAGGAGAGUGGAAUUCCAUGUGUAUCGGUGACAUGCGUAGAUAUAUGGAGGAACACCAGUGGCGAAGGCGGCUCUCUGGUCUGUAACUAACGCUGAGGCUCGAAAGCGUGGGGAGCAAACAGG